rnacentral:tRNA from 1 species
GGACCUUUAGCUCAGUUGGUCAGAGCAGACGGCUCAUAGGUUCAAAUCCUAUAAGGUCCA